CAUCAAGUGCAUCUGCCUUUUUCCUUCCUCUAGAACGAGUUGUAAGGGCGUUAAAGUUUCUCCAGAAAGGAGGAGAUUCGUACAUGAGUAAGUGGGAAGCAAUUUCUAUUCCUCGUGGUACGCUUCAGACUACAUUUGUCCAUAAGGGGUUUGACGAAAUCUGCCAGC